GACUACACAUUUUUAACUAUUAGGGUUGAACAAAGAAAUUGCCAAACAAGAAAUCAAAGCAAAAAUGUUUUUUUUUUUUUUUUCAAAAUCGUUAAUUAGGAGGUGGAAGGGACUAAUGUAGGACAUAUUGGGGGAAAACGUACUAGUAGAUAGAGAACAUCUUAAUUUUGGAUUGAGCCGAUAACACUAUUUCGAAUAGAGAACAACUAGAGAAACAAUACUCACCAGUAUGCCGUGACGUACGAUGAAUUUCGGCCAUUCGAGUUUGUUUAGGGCUCAAAAUUUGAUUUUUAAAGUUUUGACCCUAUUUUUGUCAAUUCGUUUAUUUUGGGCUUUUUUUGCAAUUUUAGUUUAUUUAAACUUUGUUUUCAUUGCUUUUAAUUAUUUUAAACUACGUUUUCAUGUAAACCCUUAUAAAUAAGGGGUUAUUAUUAUUUUUUUUCCCAUCAUCAUUCAUCAAUAAAAUUCAUGAAAUUUAUUUUCUCUUAAUUUGGUAGAUUCCAAAUUUCGUAAUCUCAAGGUUUUCGCUUGAAUUCCUUUUUCUCGUUGCGUCAUGUAUGAUAAUUCUAGAAUAUAAAGUAUUGAUAACUCCAUGAUUGACAAAAUAUUUCAUUAUCUGUUACGAAAAGUGUGGUUGAUUUCAUAUCAUAAUUGACUUUUUUUGUAAGAUAUCAUGACCAGCCUGCUACCUAAAUGAUCAUAAGUUUCACAUUAACAUUGUUAAUAUCAAACGAACAUCAUGGGAUAAACCUAUAAAGUUAUGCAAGUGGGAAUUAUUCAUUGCAUUAUUUUAUAAGUGGGAGCUCACCAGAAAAAGCAAACAAACUAGUUGACCUUUAUUUUUUCGUUGCGGGACUUUCUAGUUGUUUGAUCCAGUUUCAUAUGUUUCCCCAUUCUAAUCUUCUUCAGAAACUCUUUAUCGUUUUGAAGAGAAAGAAAACUUUGUUUCUUUAAGUAGUGGUGUUCAUGGCUUCCCGGCGGCCGUUUGCAGUGUUGAUAGUCUUAUUUUUAAUGGUGGUAUCCGCUGCAUCAAGUAAGCCUCAUAAAAACCUUGAUAUUCAUAGUGUAGGUGUGAGAUAGAUCUUUAAUUACAAUUCAUUUUAUAAUAGUAUUGACUUCUGUGAUUAGCAGGGAGGCAUAAAGAUGGAGUAAAAGUUGGUAAUAUUCAGCAUCUGGUACUCUCUCUCUCUCUCUCUCUCUCUCUCUCUCUCUCUGAACAUAUACAUACAUAUCUAUGUAUGUAUUUUUGUGUGUCUAGGUGUUGGUGUGGGUGUGAUGUUGGAAGUGAGAAACUCCCAGGGCACUUUUUAUAGACGGGAUUAGACAAUUCGAUUCAUUUCUUUUUCUUCAGUGAUAUUGUAUAGUUCUAUCCAAUAUUUCUUAGAAAAGUUUUAUAUUGAAAUUUUGAGAUCAGAAUGAGCUUAAAUUUAAAUACCACCUUCCAUUUGCAAAUUUAGCUCAGACAACCAAGUCCCUUUUUUAUUUUUAUUUUUCCCUUUAAAAUGAGAACAUCUCUAAAAAAAACUUUUUCUAUUUUUCAAAAGCAUAUUUUACAGUUGAGGGAAUAAAAAUUUUUAAGAACUCUAAUAGACUACAUAUUUAUCACUUAUUGUUUUUUCCUAUCUUUUAUUUUUACUAAUUUUCCUCCAAAUUAUUAUAUUACUUUUUUUUAUUGAAAAUUGAAAUACUUUUGAAUGUAUUUAAUUAUAGAGAGUGGGUUGCGCUUAUCAAAUUUGGAGAGCUAAACUCAAUCUCUAAAUUAAAACGUUAAUUUAGAAAGUUUUUAGAACAUGAUUUUGAGGAUUGAUUUUUCAAAAUAGAGAGCAUUUUAUUUUUAAAAAAUUUAUUCAAAAUGCCAUUUAAGGUGUAUACCAUAUCAAUAUGAGUCGAAAAAAAGUGUCUAAAUUUAUUUUCCUUGAAAUUUGUGUAGGAUAUUGAGGGGUUAAGAGGUGAUGGUGAAGCAUCAGUUGUGGAACUAAAACUAGUGGAAAGAAGGAUGAAUGUGGUGCUUACAGAUUAUGAAGGAACAGGAGCAAACAACAACCAUGAUCCUAUACCUCCUGGAAAAUUAUAAUUAUUUAUCUAGUUUUUUAAUAAGUAUUCAGAUGAACAUUAUCAAAAUACAAGAUGACAUAAUCAUGUGUUUGGCUAUGUUUGUUUAAUCCUUACUCUUGGAUGUUUCUUUCUACAUCUGUAAACGUUAAUCACAUAAUUUGUCCGAUCCAGGCGUGCACUUUUUGUGUGGAGAUUGUUUGAUGAUUAUAUUUACAUCUGUAAAUGUCUAAGAUUCAACUUUGUUUUUUUGUUCUAUAUCA
rnacentral:lncRNA from 1 species